rnacentral:rRNA from 1 species
CCUACGGGAGGCAGCAGUAAGGAAUAUUGGACAAUGCCCGCAAGGGUGAUCCAGCCAUGCCGCGUGCAGGAAGAAGGCCCUAUGGGUCGUAAACUGCUUUUACACCGGAGAAAACCUCCCUUCGUGAAGGGAGCUGAUAGUAUGGUGAGAAUAAGCAUCGGCUAACUUCGUGCCAGCAGCCGCGGUAAGACGAAGGAUGCAAGCGUUAUCCGGAUUCAUUGGGUUUAAAGGGAGCGUAGGUGGACUGAUAAGUCAGUGGUGAAAUCUUCGAGCUUAACUCGGAAAUUGCCAUUGAUACUGUUAGUCUUGAGUACAGUUGCUGUGGGCGGAAUAUGACAUGUAGUGGUGAAAUACAUAGAGAUGUCAUAGAACACCGAUUGCGAAGGCAGCUCACAAAGCUGUAACUGACACUGAGGCUCGAAAGUGCGGGGAUCAAACAGGAUUAGAUACCCUGGUAGUCCGCACUGUAAACGAUGAUUACUCGCUGCUAGAGGGCAACUUUAGUGGCUUAGCGAAAGCGAAUAAGUAAUCCACCNGGGGAGUACGCCGGCGAACGGUUGAAACGUUAAAGAGUAGUUAGACGUGAGGAGAGCGACGGAGGACACACGGGAGGGUAGGAGG